GAUCUACUUCAUCAAUUCUUUAGUGUAUCAUCUCUGACUUAAAGUCGAAGAAAAAAAAAACUAAACCAGCCAGUGGCAGACUAUGAAUAUCGCAGGCCUCGGCUGUGGGCAAACAGGAUCAUAUCCAGAACUUCCUACUGUUGGCUCCAGGACACGGGCCCCACAGCAACUACAGGCUGCCAAUGAAUACUAGUUUCCCGGAAUACACGAUCUCUGGCUCCAUCGGCUGUGCCUCACCGAGUUCCCAUCAGGAUGAUUUCCCUGCUGUUUCCCAGAAGGCAGAUGGGGCAGCAGCUGUCACACAGAGCCCGUUGUGGGGCUGCAACUCCUCCAGCACUGACUGCCCUGGGGAGAUCUGGACUCACCUUUGCCCUCCACCCUGUUGGUCCCAUUGGGAACGUUCCAACACCUUCCUUUACACGUCUCUGGGCUGGGCCUACUUAGAAAUUGGGGCCUACUUAGA